rnacentral:pre_miRNA from 1 species
AGUAGAAUUGCUGGGUUAUAUGGUAAGUUUAUGCUUUCCUUUGAGGAACUGUCAAACUCUUUUCCACAAAGGCUGAACCAUUUAACAUACCCACCAGCAAC